UAGAGAAUGACACGGCUCGUGUUCUCAUGGGGGAUUGAUUUAGUGAUGUAUUUUGUAUGGCAGUGGGUGAGUGUUUGGAGAAGUGCAGAACCCUAUGUCCUCUCAUUGCCUAAAUGUGCAUGUCUGUGAUUGCUUCCAGAUGUAUGCGGAAUGCCUUGCUAUCUCUCUCUCCCUCUAUCCCUCUCUCUUUUUUUUCUCUCUCCCUCCCUUUUGCUUUCUUUUUCUCUCCCCCUGUCCCUCUCUCUCUCUCUCUCUUUCGCUCUCUUUCUCUGGCAUCACCCAAAGUAUCCCUCCCUCUUUCCCACCCACUUGCUUUUUCCAAAAGUUUUGGACUUAACAUUUCCUCUGCCAAAGGCCUCCAUUUCCUGUCUUGUUCCUUGGGAUUGGCAAAGAAAAGCAGGGGGGAAUUAGGCUUCUUUCUCUCGCAGCUCAUCUGAUAUCCCAUAGCUUACACGACUCUUUAAGUCCGUCAGAUUACGGGGAGUGGGAAUGGGAAGAGCCUGCACUGCACAGUUUUCAGUGCACAUGAUCGCUGCCAACUGUGCUUUUGAAACUGAUCAUUUUCAUAAACGCCUCCUUUUACUGCCAGCUGCACCUUGACCCAGAAGAGCACAACUCGCACAACAACUGAUCCAGAACCUGCCCGAAUCUGGCACAGAGCCGGCCCAGACUCGACUCCUGUCUGUGCUGGGUUUUGUUUUGUUUUGCAGAGGUGAAAAUGUAAAAGUGGUUUGUUUUUCUUCUGCUGCCUCACUGCGAAAGCCUGCAUUGAAACGGGGGCCUGCGAGAUAAUGACAUGUUAAUGCAUGUGUGUCUCCAUGAAGGUUUGUUUGCCUAUUGAUAUUUUCUCCCGUUGGGCACGAAGGCGUCCAUCUGUGUUUGUGCUCUCCUCCCUACUUCAUGCAGCAGGGUGGAGGUGGGGUGGCGUGGCGGAGGUGGAUGAGGGGGCAGUUCAUGUGAAGCGCCUGACAAAUUGUUUAUCUUCCUGAGACAGGAAACGCUGAGUCACUUUGGCCACCUUCUCUCUCUCUCUCUCUCUCUCUCUGACAUAGGCACACACACGCUCCCUCUCUCGCCUCAUUUUUCUCUCUCUCCCUCUCAUCCAGCUGCCCCAUCCAUCCAUCUAGUCCUCGCUCCCUCCCUCCCACUGCCUGAACCCAGCUUUGGAGGUCACAUAAACAGGAAAGUGUGUUUUUCUCUGCCUCGUCGCUCCUCGUCGCUCCCCUUCACUCCUCAUUUCCCGUCUCCUCACGUGAUGUAAGCCCCCACCACUCCUCCUCCAGGAACCGUCCCCAAGAUGUUUAUAAGCUCAGUAAUAUGUGUGCCUGUUGGUGUGAGACAUGGGUGGGGGGAGGGGGCUGGGCACAUUAAGCAAGUACACCCUGUGGAAAAAUAACCCUGGGUAUGAGUUCACAGCCCCUUGUAAAUCUCUGGGGUUUGUUUGGUGCCAAGGGCCAGGUUACACAACAGCAGCCACGUCUGAACAGCAGCCGAGGAGGGGAGGUGGUGGUGUUUUUUUUUUGUGUGUGUUUUUGUUUGGUUCCUGCUUUGUUUUGACUCCAACAUGUCCACAUGUCUGUGGGCCAGGAGAGGGAGAGCGGAGGAGGAGCUCGCUGGGCAGUGGGCAGUGUUUAUAGCCCUCACUCCCAAAGCCCUCAGUCCUCGCAUGCAAACAGCACGUGGUUCCAGCUCCUCUCAAAACAGAAAAGAAAAGAAAGAAAAAACACCUGGAUCUUUUUAUGUGGACACUCACCACGACCUGACAGUUGGUAAAGAUACGGUACUUUUUUUCUCUCUCUCUCUAUACUCUCUUUCCUCUGUUUUGCACAGUGUUCAGUUGGUUGUGUUUUUAUUUUCAUUUUGGUGUCUGUUUUUCUACUUGUGCCUGCCGUAGAUUGGGUUGUGGUGACUGCAUUGCUCUUGAUUGAGUUUUAUGUUUCUUGUUUCUGUUUCUUGCGAAUCUGAACUUGAGAUCUGCAUAGGAACAUGGCUUUAGGCUGUUUAUACUGGAUGAAGAGCUCACAGGUGCUUUGAAUUGGCAGAAGUUGGUGAACUUGAACUUGUGUCCAGUCUGAAGCUCUUAUACAUCACUCACUCAAGAGAGUGUUUAUCAAUCUUUUGCACCAGGGAAGGAAGUGUGGCACAUACUUUACAGAUCUGGGGUCUGCUUCUAAAGCACUCUAGCUACUGUGUCCCAUCACAUACUUUACAGAUUUGGGGUCUGCUUCUAAAGCACUCUAGCUACUGUGUCCCAUCACAUACUUUACAGAUCUGGGGUCUGCUUCUAAAGCACUCUAGCUACUGUGUCCCAUCACAUACUUUACAGAUCUGGGGUCUGCUUCUAAAGCACUCUAGCUACUGUGUCCCAUCACAUACUUUACAGAUCUGGGGUCUGCUUCUAAAGCACUAGCUACUGUGUCCCAUCUGGCCCCAUUGUUUGCAUGGCCUGGAGACACAGUGGAUGAUUGCAAACAGAAACCUCAAUGUGUUGCAACAGCAAAAUGUGCAAGACAGACGUUCGAGCACUGGUGCUUUUGGAUGAGGACACAGAGGAGGAGGAGGAGGAGGUGGUGGAGGUGUCCGAAGUGAAUCUCCUCACAUUAACCUCAGACUCUUCAGGACAACAGGUAGGGUUAUGGAGUCUUUCACAGACACUACAGAUAACUACUUCCUGCAUUGUCAGUGAUGAUUUACAAAUAAGAACAACGAUGUGAUUCUCUGUAACAGACUAGAGAGUUGGCCAAUGUCGCCAUGCAUGGCCAUUGAAAUAAAUGUGUUUAUAUGGAAGAGACCAGACUAGAGAGGUGGCCUGUAAUUAACAGUAGUGCUGUUUAUAUUUUAGGUUAACUCCUUGAACUUGAUGAUUGCAGGGCAGGAAUGAUGUGUCUGGCAUUGGAGAGCACAUUAGACCCACAUCAUGGGGAUGAAAGAGUUAAUGCGGUAUGGAUUUCUACCUGUGUGGGAGAGAGGCAUGGGUAGGAUGAAAAUGAGAAGGAAGACUGUAGGAAUGGAUGAAAGGACCUGACAGGAGGAAAAAAAACUAAGUGUUGAAAUGAGAUGACUAAUUAUGUGUGGGAGCUUUCUUACUACUGACUACAGAAACCCAAAGCCACUGCUGAUAAAAAGUCUCUCGGCACUCUUUCCAGCCAGACACAUAAAGCCCUGGAGAUCUGAUGGGACUGCGAGGACAUACCCCAAAUGUAUCCUGGCAAAAUGGAACCUCAUGGUGUCCUGCUGAUCAAGCAACACAGUGCAGAGUAAACCUGUGUAAGAGCCCUCCUUCCCCAGCUCUUGGCCCUGAACAGUAAGAGUUUACAUGCUGUGGAGGCUGUUCAGCAGCAUGUACUCCCUUACAGUGCAAGGACUGGAGCCCCUCUCCCAAGAGACUCGGGUCACAGCAGACCUGAGAGUUGGACACGACAGCCGGAGACAGAGUUUGUGCUUACUUUUUUUAUUAGUUGUGCUGAAGUUUUACAUUGAAGGUAUGAAUCACAUCAUAUGUGUCUCAUCAAUGAGGUUGUUUUUGUUUUGUUUUUGUUUUAUUAAAAAAACAAACAAA